CGUAGGGUGCGAGCGUUAAUCGGAAUUACUGGGCGUAAAGCGUGCGCAGGCGGUUAUGUAAGACAGAUGUGAAAUCCCCGGGCUCAACCUGGGACCUGCAUUUGUGACUGCAUAGCUAGAGUACGGUAGAGGGGGAUGGAAUUCCGCGUGUAGCAGUGAAAUGCGUAGAUAUGCGGAGGAACACCGAUGGCGAAGGCAAUCCCCUGGACCUGUACUGACGCUCAUGCACGAAAGCGUGGGGAGCAAACAGGAUUAGAUACCCUGGUAGUCCACGCCCUAAACGAUGUCAACUGGUUGUUGGGUCUUCACUGACUCAGUAACGAAGCUAACGCGUGAAGUUGACCGCCUGGGGAGUACGGCCGCAAGGUUG
rnacentral:rRNA from 1 species